AGUGAACGCUGGCGGUAGGCCUAACACAUGCAAGUCGAACGGCAGCACAGUAAGAGCUUGCUCUUACGGGUGGCGAGUGGCGGACGGGUGAGGCAUACAUCGGAAUCUACUUUUUCGUGGGGGAUAACGUAGGGAAACUUACGCUAAUACCGCAUACGACCUACGGGUGAAAGCAGGGGAUCUUCGGACCUUGCGCGAUUGAAUGAGCCGAUGUCGGAUUAGCUAGUUGGCGGGGUAAAGGCCCACCAAGGCGACGAUCCGUAGCUGGUCUGAGAGGAUGAUCAGCCACACUGGAACUGAGACACGGUCCAGACUCCUACGGGAGGCAGCAGUGGGGAAUAUUGGACAAUGGGCGCAAGCCUGGUCCAGCAAUACCGCGUGGGUGAAGAAGGCCUUCGGGUUGUAAAGCCCUUUUGUUGGGAAAGAAAAGCAGCAGGUUAAUACCCCGCUGUUCUGACGGUACCCAAAGAAUAAGCACCGGCUAACUUCGUG
rnacentral:rRNA from 1 species